rnacentral:rRNA from 1 species
AAAUUGAAGAGUUUGAUCAUGGCUCAGAUUGAACGCUGGCGGCAGGCCUAACACAUGCAAGUCGAACGGUAACAGGAAACAGCUUGCUGUUUCGCUGACGAGUGGCGGACGGGUGAGUAAUGUCUGGGAAACUGCCUGAUGGAGGGGGAUAACUACUGGAAACGGUAGCUAAUACCGCAUAACGUCGCAAGACCAAAGAGGGGGACCCUCGGGCCUCUUGCCAUCGGAUGUGCCCAGAUGGGAUUAGCUUGUUGGUGGGGUAACGGCUCACCAAGGCGACGAUCCCUAGCUGGUCUGAGAGGAUGACCAGCCACACUGGAACUGAGACACGGUCCAGACUCCUACGGGAGGCAGCAGUGGGGAAUAUUGCACAAUGGGCGCAAGCCUGAUGCAGCCAU